ACCAGGAUGGCCAAGUGGUUAAGGCGUUGGCUUAAGUUCAAAUGUACGAAUUUACGCGUGGGUUCGAACCCCACUCCUGGUA
rnacentral:tRNA from 1 species